GGUUUGAUUCUGGCUCAGAUUGAACGCUGGCGGGAUGUUUACACAUGCAAGUCGAACGGCAGCACGGACUCUGGUCUGGUGGCGAGUGGUGAACGGGUGAGUAAUGUAUCGGAACGUGCCUAGUAGCGGGGGAUAACUACGCGAGCGUAGCUAAUACCGCAUACGCCCUUCGGGGAAAGCGGGGACCUCGGGCCUCGCACUAUUAGAGCGGCCGAUAUCGGAUGGUUAGUUGGUGGGGUAACGGCUCACCAAGGCGACGAUCCGGUAGCUGGUUUGAGAGGACGACCAGCCACACUGGGACUGAGACACGGCCCAGACUCCUACGGAGGCAGCAGUGGGGAAUUUUGGACAAUGGGGGAAACCUGAUCCAGCCAUCCCGCGUGUGCGAUGAAGGCCUUCGGGUUGUAAAGCACUUUUGGCAGGAGAAGAAACGGCACGGGAUAAUACCCCGUGCAACUGACGGUACCUGCAGAAUAAGCACCGGCUAACCACGUGCCAGCAGCCGCGGUAAUACGUAGGGUGCAAGCGUUAAUCGGAAUUACCGGGCGUAAAGCGUGCGCAGGCGGUUCGAAAGAAAGAUGUGAAAUCCCAGAGCUUAACUUUGGAACUGCAUUUUUAACUACCGAGCUAGAGUGUGUCAGAGGGAGGUGGAAUUCGCGUGUAGCAGUGAAAUGCGUAGAUAUGCGGAGGAACACCGAUGGCGAAGGCAGCCUCUGGGAUAACACUGAUUGCUCAUGCACGAAAGCGUGGGGAGCAAACAGGAUUAGAUACCCUGGUAGUCCACGCCCUAAACGAUGUCAACUAGCUGUUGGGGCCUUCGGGCCUUGGUAGCGCAGCUAACGCGUGAAGUUGACCGCCUGGGGAGUACGGUCGCAAGAUUAAAACUCAAAGGAAUUCGGACGGGACCCCGCACAAGCGGUGGAUGAUGUGGAUUAAUUCGAUGCAACGCGAAAAACCUUACCUACCCUUGACAUGUCUGGAAUCCCGAAGAGAUUUGGGAGUGCUCGCAAGAGAACCGGAACACAGGUGCUGCAUGGCUGUCGUCAGCUCGUGUCGUGAGAUGUUGGGUUAAGUCCCGCAACGAGCGCAACCCUUGUCAUUAGUUACGCUACGAAAGGGCACUCUAAUGAGACUGCCGGUGACAAACCGGAGGAAGGUGGGGAUGACGUCAAGUCCUCAUGGCCCUUAUGGGUAGGGCUUCACACGUCAUACAAUGGUCGGGACAGAGGGUCGCCAACCCGCGAGGGGGAGCCAAUCCCAGAAACCCGAUCGUAGUUCGGAUCGCAGUCUGCAACUCGACUGCGUGAAGUCGGAACGCUAGUAAUCGCGGAUCAGCAUGUCGCGGUGAAUACGUUCCUGGUCUUGUACACACCGCCCGUCACACCAUGGGAGUGGGUUUUACCAGAAGUAGUUAGCCUAACCGUAAGGAGGGCGAUUACCACGGUAGGAUUCAUGACUGGGGUGAAGUCGUAACAAGGUAA
rnacentral:rRNA from 1 species